rnacentral:tRNA from 7 species
GCCUCUGUAGCUCAGUGGAAGAGCCACUCCGUCCUAAGGAGCGGGUCGGGGGUUCGAAUCCCUCCAGGGGCACCG